GGGGGGGGGGGACGAGGGGCCGAGGGAGUCGGGUGGUGCAGCCCCACGCUGCUGAAAAGUUACAAAACACGAAACGAUGACAAAACACCGGAGAGGAUCACCUACUUACUCUGGUCUCAGGACAAAAUGCUCAUCUCUUGGUUGCGCACGACGUUUGCGCACGGUCUAUAGUCCAGUCAAAGCGGCGACACUUGGAAUGCCCAGAAUGUGAGAGGUGGCGAGGAGAAGCGAGGGCCUUUGAAGCCACGCCCCUGACGGCGGGUCACGCUUCAGUGAUUGGUCGCUCCCCGGAGGUCGGAGUGCAAGUCGGGGGUCCUGUCACUCUUCUGAAGAAGAAGGUCAAAGGUCUACUUCCACCGGAGCUCCCCUUUCCUCCUCUUUCCCGGCGGGGUUCUUCUGAGCCAGGAAGCCUCACUGCUAAAAAUCAGUUUACUUUGUACACUUAUUUAUAUUCACUUUCUGUGGUUUCAAGUUUAAUGCAUCAAACUAAACAGCCUUGAUGUUUACUCAAAAUAAUCAUUCAGACCCACGUUUUUCUGUAACCGUCCGUCUGCUCAAGUGUUUAAGAGACGGAAAGUUUAUACGGAGAGGUGGAAUAUCACAUGACCACACAAACUAUUCACCGUAAAUAAAU
ensembl:lncRNA